AUGGAAAUUGUGACUAAAGAUGCAAUUGAGUUGCAAAGUAAAAGAAAUACUGACCUACACAAAAUUCCCUGCACAAGUUCACGCAAACGACAGGACCCCCAUGUGGCCGAAAAAUGCAACGUGUGUGACAGAGAUUGUCACAGAGCAGAGGACUACCGUUUCAAAGACGAAAUUUGUCACAAAUGCAAUAGAAAGGGGCACAUUCAAAGAGUAUUCAGAGCAAAAUUCAGUCACAACAGGAAAACUGAGAAAAUGAAAGGGUCUGUCAAUGCACUAGCAGAGAACAGUGGCAGUGAUUCAGAUGAACGAUUAAAUGGUACAAUGGAGUUUAACACAGUGACUUCUCCCAGCAGUAGCAUAAUAUGGGUGACACCAGAAAUCGAAGGCAAACCACUCAAAAUGGAGCUGGACACAGGAUCUGCAAUGUCUAUAAUUUCCACGACUGUUUACAAUGAGCACUUAAAUGCUAUCAAGCUGAAGAACACAAAUGUAUUGCUGAAGACAUACUCAGGAGAGAGAUUGAACCCAAUGGGGGCGUUGCAGGUCAGAGUGAGUUAUGGGGAGCAAACACAACAGUUACAGCUGUAUGUGGUGCCUGGAACUGGACCUCCAUUAUUUGGCAGGGAAUGGCUUUCAAAAAUAAAGCUGAACUGGUGUGACUUGAAAAUGCUCCACACGUUCCAGUCCAAAGAGAAAGGCACAGACCAAACACUGGAACACUUGUGGAAGAAAUACAACACAGUUUUCAGUGAUCAGAUGGGAACAGUAAAAGGCUUCACAGCUAAACUUGUACUGAGAGAUGACGCAACCCCGAAAUUCUGCAAAGCCAGAUCUGUUCCAUACUCCCUGAGACUAAAGGUGGAAGCGGAAAUUGAUCGCUUGCAGGAUACAGGGAUCGUGACGAAAGUGGACAGAAGCAAAUGGGCCACACCCAUAGUUCCUAUUGAAAAGAAAGGCAUGUCUGUUAGAAUGUGUGGGGACUUCAAGGUAACUGUGACUUCAAUGUUGCAUGUGGACCAAUACCCCCUUCCACGUCUGUAUGACAUCUUUGCUGCUCUAGCUGGUGGGAAACACUUCAGUAAAAUCAAUCUGAAACAGGCUUACCUGCAGCUAACGGUUGGAGAGAGCUCCAAACAGUACCUGACAAUAAACACACACAAAGGUCUAUACAGGUAUAACCGCCUGGUUUUUGGCAUUGCAUCGGCCCCAGCCAUUUGGCAAUGA
rnacentral:lncRNA from 1 species